UGAUGGCAGCAGGGAAGAAGGCCUGGCUAGAUAACAGGUCAAGCCUGAUGGCAGCAGGGAAGAAGAAGGCCUGGCUAGAUAACAGGUCAAGCCUGAUGGCAGCAGGGAAGAAGAAGGCCUGGCUAGAUAACAGGUCAAGCCUGAAGGCAGCAGGGAAGAAGAAGGCCUGGCUAGAUAACAGGUCAAGCCUGAUGGCAGCAGGGAAGAAGGCCUGGCUAGAUAACAGGUCAAGCCCGAAGGCAGCAGGGAAGAAGACCUGGCUAGAUAACAGGUCAAGCCUGAAGGCAGCAGGGAAGAAGAAGGCCUGGCUAGAUAACAGGUCAAGCCAGAUGGCAGCAGGGAAGAAGGCCUGGCUAGAUAACAGGUCAAGCCUGAUGGCAGCAGGGAAGAAGAAGGCCUGGCUAGAUAACAGGUCAAGCCUGAUGGCAGCAGGGAAGAAGAAGGCCUGGCUAGAUAACAGGUCAAGCCUGAUGGCAGCAGGGAAGAAGAAGGCCUGGCUAGAUAACAGGUC
rnacentral:lncRNA from 1 species